rnacentral:siRNA from 1 species
AACUAACUGGCAAACAUCGCACUC